GGCCAUAUAGCUCAAUGGUUAGAGCGCCAAUAUGUCAAGGACCUGACCCUUCAUAUGCCUAUUGGUGAUGUGAGUUCGAUUCUCACUGUGGCCA